rnacentral:rRNA from 1 species
CCUACGUGUGGCAGCAGUAGGGAAUCUUCCACAAUGGGCGAAAGCCUGAUGGAGCAACGCCGCGUUGGUGAAGAAGGUCUUCGGAUCGUAAAACCCUGUUGUUAGAGAAGAAAGUGCGUGAGAGUAACUGUUCACGUUUCGACGGUAUCUAACCAGAAAGCCACGGCUAACUACGUGCCAGCAGCCGCGGUAAUACUGAGGGGGCAAGCGUUAUCCGGAUUUAUUGGGCGUAAAGGGAACGCAGUCGGUCCGUUAAGUCUGAUGUGAAAACCUUCGGCUUAACCGGAGUAGGGCAUUGGAAACUGGGAGACUUGAGUGCAGAAGAGGAGAGUGGAACUCCAUGUGUAGCGGUGAAAUGCGUAGAUAUAUGGAAGAACACCAGUGGCGAAAGCGGCUCUCUGGUCUGUAACGGACGCUGAGGUUCGAAAGCGUGGGUAGCAAACAGGAUUAGAUACCCGGGUAGUC